GACUGAUGAUGAGACUGAGAGAGAGAGAGAGAGAGAGAGAUAAGGUUUGUGUUGUGCUGUGUCCAUAUAUGUAUAUUUGCAUGAUUUAUUAAUGUUCAUCUCCACAACAGAAACAGAAACAGAAAUUAAUGUAAAGGUGGCCCAGCUGAAGUGUUAGAGAGCAGUCAUGGCAGCUAGCCAGCUGUGAAGAAGAUAGCUAGGAUAGGAUCAUCAGUAAUUUCCCUCACAUCAUAUGCAUGUUAUGUAAUGCGCUCUCUCUCUCUCUCUCUCUCUCUCUCUCUCUCAUAUCCUGCUCUUUUAU
rnacentral:miRNA from 1 species